AUUGAACGCUGGCGGCAUACCUUACACAUGCAAGUCGAACGGCAGCGGACCUUCGGGUGCCGGCGAGUGGCGAACGGGUGAGUAAAGUAUCGGAACGUACCUUUCAGUGGGGGAUAACGUAGCGAAAGUUACGCUAAUACCGCAUAUUCUCUGAGGAGGAAAGCAGGGGACCUUCGGGCCUUGCGCUGAUGGAGCGGCCGAUAUCAGAUUAGCUAGUUGGUGGGGUAAAGGCCUACCAAGGCGACGAUCUGUAGCGGGUCUGAGAGGAUGAUCCGCCACACUGGGACUGAGACACGGCCCAGACUCCUACGGGAGUCAGCAGUGGGGAAUUUUGGACAAUGGGCGAAAGCCUGAUCCAGCCAUGCCGCGUGAGUGAAGAAGGCCUUCGGGUUGUAAAGCUCUUUCGGCCGGGAAGAAAUCGUGUGGGCUAAUAUCCUGCAUGGAUGACGGUACCGGAAUAAGAAGCACCGGCUAACUACGUGCCAGCAGCCGCCGUAACAC
rnacentral:rRNA from 1 species